UACGAAGGGGGCUAGCGUUGCUCGGAAUCACUGGGCGUAAAGGGUGCGUAGGCGGGUUUUAAGUCAGAGGUGAAAUCCUGGAGCUCAACUCCAGAACUGCCUUUGAUACUGAGGAUCUUGAGUCCGGGAGAGGUGAGUGGAACUGCGAGUGUAGAGGUGAAAUUCGUAGAUAUUCGCAAGAACACCGGUGGCGAAGGCGGCCAACUGGUCCGGAUCUGACGCUGAGGCGCGAAAGCGUGGGGAGCAAACAGG
rnacentral:rRNA from 1 species